AGUGAAGAAGGCCUUCGGGUUGUAAAGCUCUUUUGUCAGGGAAGAAACGGGGUUGGCUAAUAUCCAGCCCUAAUGACGGUACCUGAAGAAUAAGCACCGGCUAACUACGUGCCAGCAGCCGCGGUAAUACGUAGGGUGCAAGCGUUAAUCGGAAUUACUGGGCGUAAAGCGCACGCAGGCGGUCUGUCAAGUCGGAUGUGAAAUCCCCGGGCUCAACCUGGGAACUGCAUUCGAAACUGGCAGGCUAGAGUCUUGUAGAGG
rnacentral:rRNA from 1 species